GCGACGUGAUGAUAGAAUUCAUUGGUCUGUCAAUCCACUGAAACUAAGUGUGAUGUUUAUCAUGAAUCCCGACAGGUUCUGAUCGC